rnacentral:rRNA from 1 species
AGUGAACGCUGGCAGUAGGCCUAACACAUGCAAGUCGAACGGCAGCACAGUAAGAGCUUGCUCUUACGGGUGGCGAGUGGCGGACGGGUGAGGAAUACAUCGGAAUCUACUUUUUCGUGGGGGAUAACGUAGGGAAACUUACGCUAAUACCGCAUACGACCUACGGGUGAAAGCAGGGGAUCUUCGGACCUUGCGCGAUUGAAUGAGCCGAUGUCGGAUUAGCUAGUUGGCGGGGUAAAGGCCCACCAAGGCGACGAUCCGUAGCUGGUCUGAGAGGAUGAUCAGCCACACUGGAACUGAGACACGGUCCAGACUCCUACGGGAGGCAGCAGUGGGGAAUAUUGGACAAUGGGCGCAAGCCUGAUCCAGCCAUACCGCGUGGGUGAAGAAGGCCUUCGGGUUGUAAAGCCCUUUUGUUGGGAAAGAAAAGCAGCAGGUUAAUACCCCGCUGUUCCGACGGUACCCAAAGAAUAAGCACCGGCUAACUUCGUG